UCUGGUGAUUAUAACGUGUAGGCAACACCCCUAUCCAUACCGAACAGGAA
rnacentral:rRNA from 1 species